AACACUCACAGCUCUGGUCUCACUUGAGGAAAAUAAGGAAGUAAUCAGAGGACUCUCAUCUGGGUAAUUAUUGCUCUUGCUGAUGGAUUCCACAUUUGCUAUGGCAGAAUAUCAACCUGAGAUUCACACUGUUCAGUAAAGCUGAGCAAUCUGGAAAACUAUCCCAGUUGGAACUGAAGUGAAUGUUUAUUCCUGCUUUUCAGCCUAAAACUGAACAAUAGGAUACAGAAGGAGCUCUUUCAUCAUGACUAAGUUGAACAACAAGAAAAAGAGACAUCAAAAUUGGGGUUUCUCAAAGUUUCCAGAUAUGCUCAAAGUAACACCCCACUAUAUAAUAUUACUGCAUGACCCCAUCACUCAGAACUGAGCAUGGACCUGGUCGCUCUUGCAAUUUGAUGUCCUUACAUCUCUGACAUGGAUGAAGUAUAUAAAUGAAAAUGCACUGAAAAAGCAAAAUGGAUUGCAAACAAAAUUUUGACAUGUUAAAAACUGAAUGAAUUGGGAAGAUGUGCACUAAUAGGCACAAUGGAAGAAAUUGCUCCAAAAAAUAGAUGCACAUUUCCAGGUGGCAAAUCAUAAUUGUAUCGUGUGAAAGGGCCCAUCAUGAAUGAUAAUAGCUCUAUUCUAUGGAAUCCUGGGAUUUAUAAUUUAAGAAGGUGCAUCUAGAAUUCUCAUAUUUUGUGUCUCCCAGCUUUACAAACCCCAGGAUUCCAUAGGCUGGAACCAUGCAAUGGAAUCAUAGUGCCAUAACUGAGGAGCACAACUGGUAUCCUGCUGAAAUAAUUACUUUAAAAAAACCCUGAAAUAAUGAACUAAAUCCAAUUUUGCUGUCCAGCUGGAGGUUACCUAUUCAACCAUUGGCAUCCUUGAUUGAGUCUAUUCUCCUGUAAUGCACUUUUCCUCUUUUUGCUACUGCCUUUCCUUUAUUAUUACCUUUUCUAAUGAAUCUUGUGUUCUCAUCACAUGUACAAAGUAUUGUUUUCUCUCAAUUUAGUUCAUGUAGCUUCUGGGGAGAGUUUUAAUUUGAUUUGUUCUUUGACCCAUUGCCCACCUUUUUGACAGUGGUAUCUUUUUGAAAGUGGUGUCCUCCAGCAGCAGGGAAUUUCCCAUCCCAUCUCACUCAACCUUUUUUCUGCUGCUCUGGAAAGUGUAAUAGGAGGUUGAACAAAGAUAUACUCAUCAAUGGGUGCAGGCUUAAGCACCUGUACUUCGCCAAAGACAUAGUUUUAAUCAUGCAUACAACCUUAGAAGUCUCCAGCAUGUCUAGCAAGCUGUGAAGCAGAAGUUGGUCAAUUGGAUUAAAGAUGAACAUGCAAAAGAUGAAGGUACUCAGAAACAACUUCACAGAGGGUGCUACAGUGACAGUAGAUGGCAUUGACCUGAAAUGUAGAAUAAUACAGUGUUCCCUCGUUACUUCGCGGUUCACUUUUCUUGCCCUCGCUGUUUCGCGGGUUUUCAAUAUAUAUUAAUGUACACCAUGUAUCAGAGUAUUUUCCCUGUUUUGCAGGUUUUGGGGGAGGAAGCCAGGGGGUGGGCUUAUAAGAAAGGGUUUUGGAAGGGGGGAAAAGGGAGAAAUAAAGGGAGAGGGGGAGGGGAGGGAAGAGUUGGAAAUAAAAAAGGGUUAUUUAGCUUCCAUUCUUCUUCUCUGCCAGUGUACUGUAUAUUGUAACUGCUAAAAUAAAGUAUAAAUAUUAAAAUAAA